UAGAGUUUGAUCAUGGCUCAGAUUGAACGCUGGCGGCAGGCUUAACACAUGCAAGUCGAGCGGUAACAGAAAUAGCUUGCUAUUUGCUGAUGAGCGGCGGACGGGUGAGUAAUGCUUGGGAAUAUGCCUUAUGGUGGGGGACUACAGUUGGAAACGACUGCUAAUACCGCAUAAUGUCUACGGACCAAAGGGGGGGAUCUUCGGACCUCUCGCCAUUUGAUUAGCCCAAGUGAGAUUAGCUAGUUGGUAAGGUAAUGGCUUACCAAGGCGACGAUCUCUAGCUGGUUUGAGAGGAUGAUCAGCCACACUGGGACUGAGACACGGCCCAGACUCCUACGGGAGGCAGCAGUGGGGAAUAUUGCACAAUGGGGGAAACCCUGAUGCAGCCAUGCCGCGUGUGUGAAGAAGGCCUUCGGGUGUAAAGCACUUUCAGUUGUGAGGAAAGGUGUGUAGUUAAUAGCUGCAUACUGUGACGUUAACAACAGAAGAAGCACCGGCUAACUUCGUGCCAGCAGCCGCGGUAAUACGAGGGGUGCAAGCGUUAAUCGGAAUUACUGGGCGUAAAGCGUUCGUAGGCGGUUGAAUAAGCAAGAUGUGAAAGCCCAGGGCUCAACCUUGGAACUGCAUUUUGAACUGUUCGACUAGAGUACUGUAGAGGAGGGUAGAAUUUCA
rnacentral:rRNA from 1 species